AUUGAACGCUGGCGGCAGGCCUAACACAUGCAAGUCGAGGGGUAGCAGGAUUAAGCUUGCUUAAUUGCUGACGACCGGCGCACGGGUGCGUAACGCGUAUGCAACCUACCUUAUACUGGGGUAUAGCCCGGAGAAAUUCGGAUUAAUCCCCCAUAGUACUAAUGAAUCGCAUGGUUUAUUAGUUAAAGCAUUGCGGUAUAAGAUGGGCAUGCGUCCUAUUAGCUAGAUGGUGAGGUAACGGCUGGCCAUGGCUACGAUAGGUAGGGGGCCUGAGAGGGUGGUCCCCCACACUGGUACUGAGACACGGACCAGACUCCUACGGGAGGCAGCAGUGAGGAGUAUUGGUCAAUGGGCGCAAGCCUGAACCAGCCAUGCCGCGUGCAGGAAGAAUGCCCUAUGGGUUGUAAACUGCUUUUAUUUGGGAAUAAACCUCUUUACGUGUAGAGAGCUGAAGGUACCAAAUGAAUAAGCACCGGCUAACUCCGUGCCAGCCGCCGCAGUAA
rnacentral:rRNA from 1 species